GAGGGUAUAGCUCAGUGGUAGAGUGCCUGCUUAGCAUGCACAAGGUCCUGGGUUCAAUCCCUAGUAUCUCCA
rnacentral:tRNA from 1 species